rnacentral:rRNA from 1 species
CACGUAGGGGGGCGAGCGUUUGUCCGGAUUUAUUGGGCGUAAAGAGCUCGUAGGCGGCUUGUCACGUCGGAUGUGAAAGCCCGAGGCUUAACCUCGGGUCUGCAUUCGAUACGGGCUAGCUAGAGUGUGGUAGGGGAGAUCGGAAUUCCUGGUGUAGCGGUGAAAUGCGCAGAUAUCAGGAGGAACACCGGUGGCGAAGGCGGAUCUCUGGGCCAUUACUGACGCUGAGGAGCGAAAGCGUGGGGAGCGAACAGG